rnacentral:rRNA from 1 species
UACAGAGGUGGCUAGCGUUGUUCGGAAUUACUGGGCGUAAAGGGCUCGUAGGCGGCCAACUAAGUCAUACGUGAAAUCCCUCAGCUUAACUGGGGAACUGCGUGUGAUACUGGAUGGCUUGGAUUUGGGAGAGGGAUGCGGAAUUCCAGGUGUAGCGGUGAAAUGCGUAGAUAUCUGGAGGAACACCGGUGGCGAAGGCGGCAUCCUGGACCAAUAUUGACGCUGAGGAGCGAAAGCUAGGGGAGCAAACG